AGUGAACGCUGGCGGUAGGCCUAACACAUGCAAGUCGAACGGCAGCACAGGAGAGCUUGCUCUCUGGGUGGCGAGUGGCGGACGGGUGAGGAAUACAUCGGAAUCUACUCUGUCGUGGGGGAUAACGUAGGGAAACUUACGCUAAUACCGCGUACGACCUACGGGUGAAAGCAGGGGACCCUCGGGCCUUGCGCGAUUGAAUGAGCCGAUGUCGGAUUAGCGAGUUGGCGGGGUAAAGGCCCACCAAGGCGACGAUCCGUAGCUGGUCUGAGAGGAUGAUCAGCCACACUGGAACUGAGACACGGUCCAGACUCCUACGGGAGGCAGCAGUGGGGAAUAUUGGACAAUGGGCGCAAGCCUGAUCCAGCCAUACCGCGUGGGUGAAGAAGGCCUUCGGGUUGUAAAGCCCUUUUGUUGGGAAAGAAAUCCAGCUGGCUAAUACCCGGUUGGGAUGACGGUACCCAAAGAAUAAGCACCGGCUAACUUCGUGCCAGCCGCGGCGGUAA
rnacentral:rRNA from 1 species